CUGGAGUUUACACAGCAAACCCCAGCGGGGCCUCCACACAGCUUAGACAAAGCGCGCCCUGCCCUCUCACUUCCCUCCCGGCUCCUCCCUGCUUCUCCCCAAAGACCCACAAUAAGAUAAUACAACAAUCCAGCCACGACUCGUGCCCAGCCCACGAGAGUGCAAAACAGGCCCUCGAGUUGUCACCACCAAAUGCCUGGCACAUAAAGAGAAGGGGUCUCCUCUUCGCCAGUGCUGCAGAGGCACCUUCCUGGCAUCUGUAAAGACUGUAUUUUCUUCUGUUGAAUUUUUUGCACACCUUUGACCAGCCUCUUCCUCUUCAAAGGAGCCAAAAGAUUUCUCAUCAUUUGAAGACAAAAAAUCGUGAUGGUAUUUCUGUGUGUCUUGCUCCCAGGGAAGGGUUUGGUGUGGGAGAUACCUGGCCUAUCGUCUGUUUUGGAACAAUUACUGUCCCGCUCGACUCCGACCCCCACCCACCCACUGUGAGGAUAGAAGGAAUGUGAGAAUUUAGUGUUUGUCACAGUCCAGACACAAGAUGCAGCCCUGCCCUGCGUUGUGAGACAUUUUUAUCCAGACUGUAUAUUAAUGCUGAAUUGCAUCUUUCUGUUAAAAUCCUCAGCAUAAAAGGCUGAAACGGAUAGACGGUAGGAGAAAACCUGCCAAGCCAAGACUGUUAACACUGUUUUAGGAAACUAGUCCUUCCAAACUACCUCUGUGUCGCUCUUCAGUGUUAUGGAUGAUGCCUUGUGACAGCGAGAGAGCCCACCCAAAUGGGGUGGUAGGACUUUUUGACAACCAACCCUUUCCUUCCUGUGUAAAAGCCUGGGAGAUACCCUUCACACCUGAGCCAUCGGACCCAGGAGAGCCUUCUGGUCACAGAUGCUCAGAAGCGGGUCUGGAUGUGCAAAAAAUUUUGGACACAUUCCUCGGUGUUUUCUCCGGACUAAGUGCUGGAAGACCAACCUUAGCAAGACGCACUCCAAACACAACCUGUAAUGAGACACAUAGCCCUCCUGUGCUUGUCCACCGACCCUGCCUCCCCUUAACUGUCAGUCAUGGAAAUGGUCGGUGCCAUUGCUCACCCGCCGGAGUGGGGGGGACUUAAGUGAUUCUGUGGGUGGGACUUAAGUGAUUCUGUGGUGUCCGCUUGCUUUCGACUAUUUCCUGAGCUGCUACAGGUCAGCCCUGGGGCAGAUCUAGAGGGAUCUAUUAGGUGCUCCGGGGCUGGGCCACUUUGAGGGGCUCCACUGGCAUCAAAGUGUCUGUCCCUGCUUGAGGAAGAGGCAAUGUGACUGUAUCUGGAGAUCAUCAACGUGGCUGGAAGUCAGACCACGCCUCGGUCAUCAAGCAGCUACUGCCUGCACUGUUUGAUGCUGGGGCCUGAUGAUGUCACAGGGUGGCCCCUACAGGUGCAGCCAGUAGGGAAGACAGAUGCAGCGCUCAGUCACACAGCUGAGCAGGAUCUGGACGGCUAUAUCCUGAAUCCAGACCCCCGGGAAAGCAUCAGAAAGGAGACGUGGAUGAGAGCGACAUUCUGCCCGUUGCCUAGCUCCAGGCAGGCAUCAGGGUCCCAGACUGCAAAGGGAAAACUAUUGCCCAGACCAGAGUGGUUUCCUGUCCCAGUCGUGCCUUCACCCUCCGCACUCUGACAGGCAGAGAGAAGUUCCUUCUAUGAGCUCCCCAUUUGCAAACAGCUCAGAUCCUGGCAACAUGGGGUUUGGCUUCAGUGCAGGGGUGAGUCACAUCUCUCUACUACUAGAGACAUCCAUGCCAUUCCAACAGUCACUGGAUCUUACAGUUAGGUGGUGGGAGUUAAUGCUUAGUUUCGAGGCUUUUUACCAUGGUAACUAACCCACCCAGCUAACAGGUACCAAUGAGGGGGAAAGUAUUAGAAGCAGCAGAGAAACAUAGUUUACAGUUGAUACAAAAUCAAAACAGAGAUAUUUUUACAAUGGCAAGAGCUGAGACACGGGGGGCUGUGCUUGUGUGAGGAUGAAUGGUUCCCUGGUAGGAAAGUCCAUGGCCAAUUACAAGGACAGUAAACAGAGCUCUGUGUAUGCAGUUAGGGGCAGGCAGGGGGAGGGCAGGGAUGAAACGGACCUGCAGACAGCACAGCGGGCAGAAUGAAAGCUCACUCUCCCAGGGUUAGUUCAGGAGGCUGAGCAUAAGAGUUCCCAGCAGGCUUUCUUGACCUCAGACCACUGACAUUGCGGGCUAAUUUUUAUUCUGGGGCUGUCUUGUGCAUUGUGGGAUUUUUAGCACCCUCCUCCCCUCAGCCGUGAUACCCAAAAGAUGUCUCCCAACAUUGCCAAAUAGUCCCUGGGGCACAAGAUAACCCAGUGGCUGAGGACCACUGGCUUAGGAGUCGAGCUCCAAGAAGAUGCUGUGGCCCUUGGAGCUCAGGGAGGCUCAGCAUCACAAAGAGGGCCCAUCUCAGGGCCACAAAUGAGGCCCUUCCCUCCCCAGGACCAAAAACCACAGCUGAGCAGGGGUUGCCCGCUCCACAGACUUUCAGCAUUGAUGACACUAGUGUAUCCUGGAGACAGAUGCCUAGUAGAGCCGGUAUCAGCAAAGAGAAGGGCACAGGCCAGGUUUUAAAGGUCUCACCAGAGCUGACCAGUAGAAAUACACCACAGAACUCUUGCUCACUAUGGGCUUCCAGGCAAGUAUCCUUUUGUGCAAGUUCCACUUCCUAGCCACGGGAAGCAGAAGAUUCUGGAAUGAACCCCAUAGGCUAUCCCUCCCUUGGGGGCAUUCGCCUGUGCUGUGCCCUCCACCCGGAACAACCAUCCCUCAUCCCCACCCACAAUUCUUCAGGAUCAGAUCCAAGAUUCCUCCUUCUAGAAGUGUGUUCUGACCCCCAAGCAGUCUGGGGGGGUCCUCUCUCAGCGCCAUAUUGUCAUGGGGUCUCCCUCCCCCAUGAGACUGUGAGCCCCUCAAGGACAGAGCUGGUAUCACUGGCCUCUGUCCCCUCCAAGACAACUCAGGGCCAAGUGCCACUAAAUGAACACAGCCCUGCCCAGCAGCUAUUCCUUCUGGGGCUCCAGGGGCCCAGGGCGGAAGCAUCUUC